AUCCAUCAGCGGCCAGGGGAAGAAGCUAAAUUUGGCUUCUAAUUGGUAGGGAGCAGGCUUGAGUCAGGAGAUGGCCCCAUUCCAGUUAGGCCUUAGUAAGCCAACACUCAGACCCUGGCUGGAAAUAAAACCAGGCCUAAUGCAGAUGACACCUCAACCUGCCUGUGGUGAGUCAGGUCUGUUUUAUCUCUGUAGGCGUGGUCCCUGAUCAAGAGUCAGGUCUGUUUUAUCUCUGUGUGCGUGGUCCCUGUUCAGGAGUCAGGUCUAUUUUAUCUCUGUGUGCGUGGUCCCUGGUCAGGAGUCAGGUCUUCCUUCCAACUUCUAGUAUGUUAGCAGGCAGAACUACUGCAGGAUGGGCCAGGAUAGAGAAAAGUCUGUGAUUUGUGUUUGACGGAUGAAUUCAGCAACUCUGUGUGUGUGUGUGUGAUGAAACAUUCAGAUCAACAGUGUAAUGUUUUCCCAUCCUGUAGUCUCUAGUCAUGUUUUAUCCAGCAGCUGAGGAGUUGUGCUUUGUGCACUGAGAGUUUAAAGCUGGGAUAUAGAAAAAAUGCAUGUUGCACACACAUGCGCGCCAAACACACACAUAUGAACACACGCACACGCACGCACGCACACACACACACGCACACAUUCACACACAUCUCUUCAGCUCCCUCACUGUGUGAAUGCCAGAUGUCCCUUAUCUCCCCCAUACUCUCCGUGUUAAGAAUGCAGUGCCCAGGCAGACGUACAGAGCUGAUCCGACUGUGUUCCUUUCAAGUGUUUAAAUCCUGCAGCUCGCAUCGCAUGCCCAAUCUCAGGGUACACUUCUACUCAAUUUGUUGGCUGGAAGAAUGCCCUAAUUCAAUUUAGACUGUUUAAGAAAGCAGAGGCAGGGUCUGCGACAAGUUUAGAAAGCACAGGAGAUGGUGGACCAGUCAGCUUUGGUCAGCUAUUAACAUUAGCUCUUAGCAUAACAUAUAUGGUAUGCUAAUAACAGAGUGGAAUAAUUCUCUGGAAUCACCAAGAGGCUCAUUCACCCUAGCUCAUUCAGUUC
ensembl:lncRNA